GUGAGAAAGAUUGUUAGAUUGUUUCCUAAGAUAUGGAAUUUCAAGAGAAGGCAGUUCUAACGUUCCUAACCAGUUACUUAGGAAAUGCCGAUACACAACAUCUGUGUUGGUUCCUCAGAUUCUGCACAGGAUCAGAUCUCUUCCUGGAGAAGAACAUUAUCAUAAGCUUUUCCAAAGUGGAAGGUUUUCAGAGAAGACCGGUUGCCCAUACAUGUGGCUGCGUGUUUGAAUCGUCAAUUCAUUAUGUCAGCCUACCUGACUUAUAGUGAAGAGAUGAACAGAGCCUUGGAUUCCAACGUCCAUGGAGCAAAGGUGUGUGGAAUACAUCUCACUGAUGCGAGACCAACUAAAGAGGACCCCUACUCAAUAUUGCACUUGGGAUGCAAACAUCAUUUUGAGAUAGAUACAUCUGUCCGUGCCCCGCCCAAACGAAGAUGUCUCGCAUCCCCCACAGUGGUUAACAAUUGUGAUACUGAAUCUACCGUUGCAGAAGAGGAUCUCAACAGUCAACAACCUGGAAAAUAUUCCUCCGCAGAAGUGUGAUGCCUGCAUCCAGUGGCCAGAUCUCACAGACCACAACUGUUUGCCUCCAGUAGUUACUUUGGCCACUUCCUGAGCAUGAAGUUAGACAAAUGCGUCGCUUAACAAAUGUCAGAAUUAAGGUGCAGAGAGCUAUUAGGAGAAAAUAAAACCGUAUUUUCUGCACCAUACGGCGCAUCUAAAAGCCUUACAUUUUCUCAAAAGCUGACUGUAUAUAAAAGUCGACAGCCUUAUAAUCUGGUGCACCUUAUAUAUGAAUCAAUAUUGAGCCACAAAAGGUCUCACGGCAACUUGGAGCACAGCUCUAUCUCAUCGAUGCAUA